UAAAUGAACUUGAUAAACCAUUGUUUGAAGAUUAUAAUACAUAUGACUCGAGUGCAUCUUGUAGCCGCUUUUCCUCUAGCGUCGAUCAAGGAAAAUCAGAGAAAAUCGCUCUUCAAAUACACAGGCCCGUUGACGCUUAAUGUCCGGUUUUAAAAAAGACUGAAUUAUUCCAUAAAGCUUCCGACUCACAUGGCUACAAAAAACGUGGUCGUAAAAAGGGAUCUAGAGGUGUUGAUGCUGUAAUUUCUAAAGAGUCGUCUAGCUUGUGCCAGCAAAUCUUCUUAGGCAGCUCGACAGUAAAUAAAGUCAAGACGACAAAGGAACUUUUUAAUGAAAUCCAGAGCAGAAAAUUAACUGCUUCGCACUCUUCAACAUUUCGUGACAAGACAAAAUGUGCUCGCUUAAAAAGACGAACGUCAUCAUGUUCGGAAGCAUCAAUACUUUCACCAAAUUUAAUGGAAAAUUACUCUGGCAACGUAACUCUAAUGGAUAUUGAUACAUUUUCAAAAAAAAUUCGUGUUCCUAAUAACAUCAAGGAAACCUAAUUUCGGAC
rnacentral:sRNA from 1 species